GGGGUUGUAGCUCAAUGGUAGAGCACCUGCUUAGCGUGUAUGAGGCCAUAGGUUCAAUCCUCAGCGCCU
rnacentral:tRNA from 1 species